rnacentral:rRNA from 1 species
UACGGAGGGUGCAAGCGUUAUCCGGAUUUACUGGGUUUAAAGGGUGCGUAGGCGGGUCUGUAAGUCAGUGGGGAAAUCUCCGGGCUUAACCCGGGAACUGCCAUUGAUACUAUAGGUCUUGAAUUAUCUGGAGGUAAGCGGAAUAUGUCAUGUAGCGGUGAAAUGCUUAGAUAUGACAUAGAACACCAAUUGCGAAGGCAGCUUACUACGGAUACAUUGACACUAAGGCGCGAAAGCGUGGGGAUCAAACAGG